GACGAACGCUGGCGGCGUGCUUAACACAUGCAAGUCGAACGGAAAGGCCCUGCUUUUGUGGGGUGCUCGAGUGGCGAACGGGUGAGUAACACGUGAGUAACCUGCCCUUGACUUUGGGAUAACUUCAGGAAACUGGGGCUAAUACCGGAUAGGAGCUCCUGCUGCAUGGUGGGGGUUGGAAAGUUUCGGCGGUUGGGGAUGGACUCGCGGCUUAUCAGCUUGUUGGUGGGGUAGUGGCUUACCAAGGCUUUGACGGGUAGCCGGCCUGAGAGGGUGACCGGCCACAUUGGGACUGAGGUACGGCCCAGACUCCUUCGGGAGGCAGCAGUGGGGAAUAUUGCACAAUGGGCGGAAGCCUGAUGCAGCAACGCCGCGUGCGGGAUGACGGCCUUCGGGUUGUAAACCGCUUUCGCCUGUGACGAAGCGUGAGUGACGGUAAUGGGUAAAGAAGCACCGGCUAACUACGU
rnacentral:rRNA from 1 species